UCGAACGGCAGCACGGUGCUUGCACCUGGUGGCGAGUGGCGAACGGGUGAGUAAUACAUCGGAACAUGUCCUGUAGUGGGGGAUAGCCCGGCGAAAGCCGGAUUAAUACCGCAUACGAUCUACGGAUGAAAGCGGGGGACCUUCGGGCCUCGCGCUAUAGGGUUGGCCGAUGGCUGAUUAGCUAGUUGGUGGGGUAAAGGCCUACCAAGGCGACGAUCAGUAGCUGGUCUGAGAGGACGACCAGCCACACUGGGACUGAGACACGGCCCAGACUCCUACGGGAGGCAGCAGUGGGGAAUUUUGGACAAUGGGCGAAAGCCUGAUCCAGCAAUGCCGCGUGUGUGAAGAAGGCCUUCGGGUUGUAAAGCACUUUUGUCCGGAAAGAAAUCCUUGGUUCUAAUAUAGCCGGGGGAUGACGGUACCGGAAGAAUAAGCACCGGCUAACUACGUGCCGGCAGCCGCGGUAAUACGUAGGGUGCGAGCGUUAAUCGGAAUUACUGGGCGUAAAGCGUGCGCAGGCGGUUUGCUAAGACCGAUGUGAAAUCCCCGGGCUCAACCUGGGAACUGCAUUGGUGACUGGCAGGCUAGAGUAUGGCAGAGGGGGGUAGAAUUCCACGUGUAGCAGUGAAAUGCGUAGAGAUGUGGAGGAAUACCGAUGGCGAAGGCAGCCCCCUGGGCCAAUACUGACGCUCAUGCACGAAAGCGUGGGGAGCAAACAGGA
rnacentral:rRNA from 1 species